UCCAGGAGAAUUAGUAAUGUGUCAGGAGAAAUUGGUACAAGAAGCCGUGGAUACACUUCUUGAUAAUGGAAUCCGCGGACAACCGAUGAGGGACGGUCAUAAUAAGGUUUACAAAUCAUUUUCUGAUAUAAUUGAGGGCAAAGAGGGAAGAUUUCGCGAGACUCUACUUGGGAAACGGGUUGAUUAUUCGGGUCGUUCUGUCAUUGUUGUAGGUCCAUCACUUUCAUUACAUAGAUGUGGAUUGCCCCGCGAAAUAGCAAUAGAACUUUUCCAGACAUUUCUAAUUCGUGGUCUAAUUCGAAAACAUUUUGCUUCGAACAUAGGAAUUGCUAAGAGUAAAAUUCGGGAAAAAGAACCGAUUGUAUGGGAAAUACUUCAAGAAGUUAUGCAGGGACAUCCCGUAUUGCUGAAUAGAGCGCCGACUCUGCAUAGAUUAGGUAUACAGGCAUUCCAACCCAUUUUAGUAGAGGGGCGUGCUAUUUGUUUGCAUCCAUUAGUUUGUAAGGGAUUCAAUGCAGACUUUGAUGGGGAUCAAAUGGCUGUUCAUGUGCCUUUAUCUUUAGAAGCUCAAGCAGAAGCUCGUUUACUUAUGUUUUCUCAUACGAACCUCCUGUCUCCGGCUAUUGGGGAUCCUAUUUCCGUACCAACUCAAGAUAUGCUUAUUGGACUUUACAUAUUAACGAGCGGGAAUCGUCGAGGUAUUUAUUCAAAUAGGUAUAAUCCACGGAAUUGCGGAAAUUUUAGAAAUCUUAAAAAUGAAAGAAUUCGAGAUAAUAACUAUAAGUAUACGAAAAAAAAAGAACCCUUUUUUUGUAAUUCCUAUGAUGCAAUUGGAGCUUAUCAACAAAAAAGAAUAAACUUCGAUAGUCCUUUGUGGCUCCGGUGGCGACUAGAUCAACGCAUUAUUUCGUCAAGAGAAGUUCCUAUCGAAGUUCACUAUGAAUCUUUAGGUACCUAUCAUGAAAUUUAUGAGCAUUAUCUAGUAGUAAGAAGUACAAAAAAAGAAAUUCGUUCUAUAUACAUUCGAACCAAUGUUGGUCAUAUUUCUUUUUAUCGAGAAAUCGAAGAAGCUAUACAAGGUUUUUGCCGGGCCUAUUCAUAUGAUAUCUAAUCAUAUGAUAUCUAAUCAUAUAGAUCAUAUAGAUGGUUGGUAUCUAAGAUAAGAAAAUUUAUGAUACCGAUGUAAAUUCAGGUCUUCAUGGUUUAACGAAAAUCAUAGUUUUUCAAUUUCUACGCAAAUCAAGAUAAAGAAAAGGCAGUUUUCCAAUCAUUGACUCAAACCCAUUGUUGAACCGAAUCCCACUGAGUGGAAUAUGGAGGUACUUAUGGCAGAACGGGCCAAUCUAGUCUUUCACAAUAAAGUGAUAGGUGGAACUGCCAUUAAACGACUUAUUAGCAGAUUAAUAGAUCACUUUGGAAUGGCAUAUACAUCACAUAUCCUGGAUCAAGUAAAGACUCUGGGAUUCCGUCAAGCUACGGAUACAUCCAUUUCAUUAGGAAUUGAUGACCUUUUAACAAUACCUUCUAAAGGAUGGCUAGUCCAAGAUGCUGAACAACAAAGUUUGAUUUUGGAACAACAUCAUCAUUAUGGGAAUGUACAUGCAGUAGAAAAAUUACGCCAAUCCAUUGAGAUAUGGUAUGCUACAAGUGAAUAUUUUCGACAAGAAAUGAAUCCUAAUUUUAGGAUGACCGACCCCUUUAAUCCAGUCCAUAUAAUGUCCUUUUCGGGAGCUAGAGGAAAUGCGUCUCAAGUACACCAAUUAGUGGGUAUGAGAGGAUUAAUGUCGGAUCCACAAGGACAAAUGAUUGAUUUACCUAUUCAAAGCAAUUUGCGCGAAGGGCUUUCUUUAACAGAAUAUAUAAUUUCUUGCUACGGAGCUCGUAAAGGGGUUGUAGAUACUGCUGUACGAACAUCAGAUGCUGGAUAUCUUACACGCAGACUUGUUGAAGUGGUUCAACACAUUGUUGUACGUCGAACGGAUUGUGGUACCAUUCAAGGAAUUUCGGUGAAUACCCAGAAUGGAAUGAUGCCGGAAAGAAUAUGGAUACAAACAUUAAUUGGUCGUGUAUUAGCAGACGAUAUAUACAGAGGUUCACGAUGCAUUGCCGUUAGAAAUCAAGAUAUUGGAAUUGGACUUAUCAAUCGAUUUAAAACCCUUCAAACCCAACCAAUAUCUAUCCGAACUCCCUUUACCUGUAGGAAUACAUCUUGGAUCUGUCGAUUGUGUUAUGGCCAAAGUCCUACUCAUGGUCACUUGGUGGAAUUAGGAGAAGCUGUAGGUAUUAUUGCGGGCCAAUCCAUUGGAGAACCGGGCACUCAACUAACAUUAAGAACUUUUCAUACUGGCGGAGUCUUCACUGGAGGUACUGCAGAACAGGUGCGAGCACCUUAUAAUGGAAAAAUUCAAUUCAAUGAAGAUUUGGUUCAUCCUACACGUACACGUCAUGGGCAUCCUGCUUUUCUAUGUUAUAUAGAUUUGUAUGUUACUAUUGAAAGUGGUGAUAUUAUACAUAAUGUGACUAUUCCACCAAAAAGUUUUCUAUUAGUUCAAAACAAUCAAUAUGUAAAAUCAGAACAAGUAAUUGCCGAGAUUCGCGCAGGAACAUACACUUUUAAUUUAAAAGAAAAAGUUCGAAAACAUGUCUAUUCUGACUUAGAAGGAGAAAUGCAUUGGAGUACCGAUGUGUACCAUGCAUCAGAAUUUAGAUAUAGUAAUGUCCAUAUCUUACCAAAAACAAGUCAUUUAUGGAUUUUAUCAGGAAAAUCAUACAGGUCCGGUUCAGUCUCUUUUUCAAUCCGAAAAGAUCAAGAUCAAAUGAACAUUCAUUAUCUUUCUACUGGAGAAAGAGAUUUUUGUAACCUUUUAGCAAGUAAAAAAAAAGUAAGACAUAAAUUGUUUCGUUUCAAUCCUUCUGAUAAAAAAGAAAGAAGGAUUUCAGAUUAUUCAAUAUUUAAUCAAAUCAUAUCUAUAGAUCAUUGUCAUUUUACACAUCCUACUAUUUUCCAUGAUACUACGGAUUUAUUAGCAAAGAGGCGGAGAAAUAGAUUAAUUAUUCCAUUUCAAUUCCAAUCGAUUCAAGAACGAGACAAAGAGCUAAUGUUAGCUUCCAGUAUCUCGAUUGAAAUACCAAUCAAUGGUAUUUUUCGUAGAAAUAGCAUUCUUGCUUAUUUCGAUGAUCCUCAAUACCGAACACAGAGCUCGGGAAUUACUAAAUAUAGGACUAUAGGUAUAAAUUCCAUUUUUAAAAAAGAGGAUUUUUUAAUUGAGUAUCAAGGAGUUAAAGAAUUUAAGACAAAAUACCAAAUUAAAGUAGAUCAAUUUUUUUUCAUUCCCGAGGAAGUGCAUAUUUUACCAGAAUCUUCUUCCAUAAUGGUACGGAACAAUAGUAUCGUUGAAGUAGAUACACUAAUCACUUUAAAUAUAAGAAGUCGAGUAAGGGGAUUGGUCCGAUUGGAGAAGAAAAAAAAAAAGAUUGAAUUAAAAAUAUUUUCCGGGGAUAUCUAUUUUCCCGGAGAAAUGGAUAAGAUAUCCCGACACAGUGCCGUGUUGAUACCACCAAGAACGGUAAAAAAAAAUUCAAAAGAAAAAAAAAUGAAAAAUUGGAUCUAUGUCCAAUGGAUCACAAUUACGAAAAAAAAGUAUUUUGUUUUGGUUCGACCGGUAAUUUUAUAUGAAAUAGCGGAUAGGAUCAAUUUAGUAAAACUUUUUCCCCAAGAUAUGUUCCAAGAAAGAGAUAAUCUGGAACUUAAAGUUAUUAAUUAUAUUCUUUCUGGAAAUGGAAAAUCCAUUCGGGGAAUUUCUGAUACAAGUAUUCAAUUAGUUAGGACUUGUUUAGUCUUAAAUUGGGAUCAAGACAAAAAAUUUUCUUCUAUAGAAAAUGCGCAUGCUUCUUUUGUUGAAAUAAGUAUAAAAGGUUUGGUUAGAUAUUUCUUAAGAAUUGACUUAGUGAAAUCCCAUAUUUCAUAUAUAAGAAAAAGGAAUAAUCCGCCCGGUUCAAGAUUUAUCUUGGAUAAUGAGUCGGACCGCACCACCAUCAAUCCAUUUUUUUCUAUUGAUUCGAGGGAAAAAAUUCAACAAUCACUUAGUAAAAAUCAUGGAACUAUUCGUAUGUUGUUGAAUAGAAAUGAAAAAUGCCGAUCUUUGAUAAUUUUGUCAUCAUCGAAUUGUUUUCAAAUACGAUCAUUCAACCAUGGAAAAUAUUACAAUGGGAUAAAAGAGGGAAUUAAUCAAAUUCAAAGAGAUGCUAUGAUUCCAAUUAAAAAUUCGUUAGGUCCUUUAGGAAUAGCCCCUCAAGUUGCCCAUUUUGAUUUUUACCGUUUAAUAACUCAUAAUCAGAUCUCGAUAAUUAAAAAUGGGCAACUUGACAAAUUAAAAGAAACUUUUCAAGUAUUCCAAUAUUAUUUCCUGGACGAAAACGAGAGAAUUUAUAAACCUGAUCUGUGUAGUAACAUCAUUUUAAAUCCAUUCUAUUUGAAUUGGCAUUUUCUCCACCAUAAUUAUUGUGAAAAAACGUUUACAAUAAUGAGUCUUGGUCAAUUUAUUUGCGAAAAUGUAUGUAUAGUUCAAACGAAAAAUGCACCACACCUAAAAUCGGGUCAAAUUCUAACAGUUCAAAUGGAUUCUGUAGGAAUAAGAUCGGCUAACCCUUAUUUGGCGACUCCUGGAGCAACGGUUCAUGGCCAUUAUGGGGAAAUACUUUCUGAAGGAGAUAUAUUAGUUACAUUUAUCUAUGAAAAAUCGAGAUCGGGUGAUAUAACACAAGGUCUUCCAAAAGUAGAACAGGUAUUAGAAGUUCGUUCGAUUGAUUCAAUAUCGAUGAACCUAGAAAAGAGAGUUGAUACUUGGAAUGGGCGUAUAACAAAAAUUCUUGGCAUUCCUUGGGGAUUCUUGAUUGGUGCUGAGCUAACGAUAGCGCAAAGUCGUAUUUCUUUGGUUAAUAAAAUUCAAAAAGUUUAUCGAUCCCAGGGAGUUCACAUUCAUAAUAGACAUAUAGAAAUUAUUGUGCGUCAAAUAACAUCAAAAGUCUUGGUUUCCGAAGAUGGAAUGUCUAAUGUUUUUUUGCCCGGUGAACUAAUUGGAUUGUUGCGAGCCGAACGAGCAGGGCGUUCCUUAGAAGAGGCGAUUUGCUAUCGAGUUCUAUUAUUGGGGAUAACAAAAACAUCUCUGAAUACUCAAAGUUUCAUAUCUGAAGCAAGUUUUCAAGAAACUGCUAGAGUUUUAUCAAAAGCCGCUCUCCGGGGGCGCAUAGAUUGGUUGAAAGGUCUGAAAGAGAACGUUGUUUUAGGGGGAAUGAUACCUGUUGGUACCGGAUUCAAAAGAAUAAUGAACCGUUCAAAGCAAAGGCAAUAUAACAAGAUGACCUCGGAAACAAAAAAAAAGAAUUUAUUUGAGGGCGAAAUGAGAGAUAUUUUGUUUCACCACAGAGAAUUCUUUUUUUUUGUUUCAAAGAAUUUAUGCGAUACAUCGCAGCAAUCUAGUAUUUAAUAAUUCCUAAAAUAAUGAUUCUUAAGAGCGGAUUCAUCUUCGGUCAUUUUAUUUUGUAUAAUAAAAGAAAGAUAAUAAAGAGAAUAAUCAUAUUAAAUAUUAAAUAGAAAAAAUGGCCCGAUCAUUUAUCAAAGGCCAAUCUUCGGUAGAAGAGAAGGUUCCUUUGGAACACUUAUUUCUAUUUCAGUAUACCGGGUCUCUUUCUUUCAUUUCAAAAAAUUUAUAGAAUUUCGAUUUUGAAAUGAAAGAAAAGUGUGGGGAUAAAUAUAAAUGACAAAAAGAUAUUGGAACAUAAUCUUGGAAGAGAUGAUGGAAGCAGGAGUUCAUUUUGGCCACGGUACUAGAAAAUGGAAUCCUAAAAUGUCACCUUAUAUAUCUGCAAAGCGUAAGGGUAUUCAUAUUACAAAUCUUAUUAGAACUGCUCGGUUUUUAUCAGAAGCUUGUGAUUUAGUUUUUGAUGCAGCAAGUGAGGGAAAACAAUUCUUAAUUGUUGGUACAAAAAAAAAAGCAGCGGAUUCAGUAGCACGGGCUGCAAUAAGAGCUCGGUGUCAUUAUGUUAAUAAAAAGUGGCUCGGCGGUAUGUUAACGAAUUGGUAUACUACAGAAACACGACUUCAAAAGUUCAGGGACUUGAGAAUGCAACAAAAGACGGGGAGACUCAAUAGUUUUCCAAAAAGAGAUGCCGCUAUAUUGAAGAGACAUUUAGCUCAUUUGGAAACAUAUCUUGGCGGCAUUAAAUAUAUGACGGGGUUACCUGAUAUUGUAAUAAUCGUCGAUCAACAAGAAGAAUAUACGGCUCUUCGAGAAUGUAUAACUUUGGAAAUUCCAACAAUUUGUUUAAUCGAUACAAAUUGUGACCCGGACCUCGCCGAUAUUUCAAUUCCAGCUAAUGAUGAUGCUAUAGCCUCAAUUCGAUUAAUUCUUAACAAAUUAGUAUUUGCAAUUUGUGAGGGCCGUUCUAGCUAUAUACGAAAUUCUUGAUUAAUAAUAAAAUAAAAAAAUUAUUGGAUUUAGUUGGAGGGGUUCAUAGAUUUAGGGAAUCGAUUACUAUACUAGUAAUAAAUUGUACAAAAAAUAAAAAUAUAAAUAAUAUAAAUAUAAAAAGAACAAACACAAAUUUUAUGUGAUUAGUCGCGGUAUUUAAAAUAAAAAAUGAAAGUAGACAAAUAAAAAAGGAAAGGAGAUGUUUGAAUAAAAAUAAUUCCCCUUCAAGUUCUUAUUUUUUGAGAGGACAGGACAAUAUGAAUGUUUUAUUAUGCUCUAUCAACACAUUAAAAAGAUUAUAUGAUAUAUCUGCUGUGGAAGUAGGUCAACAUUUCUAUUGGCAAAUAGGGAGUUUCCAAGUACAUGCCCAAGUACUUAUUACUUCUUGGGUUGUAAUUGCUCUCUUAUUGGUUUCAGCCAUUCUAAUUAUUCGAAAUCUGCAAACCAUUCCCGCUUUCGGUCAGAAUUUCUUUGAAUAUGUUCUUGAAUUCAUUCGAGACGUGAGCAAAACUCAAAUUGGAGAAGAAUAUGGUCCGUGGGUUCCUUUUAUUGGAACUUUGUUUCUAUUUAUUUUUGUUUCUAAUUGGUCGGGGGCUCUUUUACCUUGGAAAAUCAUACAAUUACCUCACGGGGAGUUAGCUGCACCCACAAAUGAUAUAAAUACUACCGUUGCUUUAGCUUUACUUACAUCAAUUGCAUAUUUCUAUGCGGGUCUUUCAAAAAAAGGAUUAGCUUAUUUUAAUAAAUACAUCCAACCAACCCCAAUCCUUUUACCGAUUAACAUCUUAGAAGAUUUCACAAAACCCUUAUCUCUUAGUUUUCGACUUUUCGGAAAUAUAUUAGCUGAUGAAUUAGUAGUUGUUGUUCUUGUUUCUUUAGUACCUUUAGUAGUUCCUAUACCUGUCAUGUUCCUUGGAUUAUUCACAAGCGGUAUUCAAGCUCUCAUUUUUGCUACUUUAGCUGCGGCUUAUAUAGGUGAAUCCAUGGAAGGCCAUCAUUGACCAGUUUUCUACAAAAUAGUCCUUUUCGUUUAGCUUGCCGCACAUAUAUUGCGGCUCAAUAUAAUCUACUUAGUAAACAUCUAUAUCUAUCUACCUAUAUCUAUAUAGAUAUAGGUAGAUAGAUAUAGAUAGAUAUUCGAUUAGCAUAUAUUAGCAUAUAUUAGUAUAUAUUGGAUAUUCAAAAAAAAAAUAAUAAAUAAAAAAAUUAAGAGCCAUAAUUAGAAUUCUGUAUGAUAUUUACGUUUACGGCGUGUGAUAAAAAGAUACUAUAUAGAACUAAAGGAGAUUCCCGUUUCAGUUACAUUCAAUUCAACGAUUGACCAAAAGAGAAUUCAAAAAAUAACAUUUAGAUCACCCAAAUUCCAAUAUUUCUAUGAAACAAUAAUUAAAUCUAACGAAUUUAUUUCGAUUGAUUGUAUCCAUAUGGGGUAAUAAUAAAAGGGGGAGGAGAGCUUAAAAAAACAAGAUAACAAAUAAAGUAUAAGUGCGGGGGGUCAAACUGGGUGUAUAUAAUCGGAUCACUAUAAGACAACUCUUUCUUUUGAGGUUUCAAAGAAUGAUUUUCGAAUUCGAUUGAAUCUAAAACACAAAAUAAUUGGUUUACAGGAUAGAAGAAACCCACGUAUAUGUGAUAGGAUAUUCUAUAUGAACUAGUUAUAUAUGAACUAACCAUAUCCAUAUAUAUUAUAUAAAAUAACUAAUAUUUUAUAUCUAAAAUUGCCCCGCUACUACUGUAAAUUUCGAUAGGGAUUAAAAAACAAAGCCUUUCCGUUUCAUCUCGAAUUGUGAAUUGAAUAUUCAAUGACUAAAAAAAUGGAAUAAAAAAACGAAGAAUUCAAAGAAUGAUUCCAAAUUGAAGGUAGGAUAAGAACAAAGGUUCUACAUAUUCACAAAAAAAAACUAUGUAUGUAGGUAGAGACGAAAAAAUAAAUCUCGAAGUAAUUCGUAGAGUUCAAUAACUAUUAUUAUUUUCAAUUCGGAAUUCUUAUUAAUUACUUUAAACCGAAUAAAUCUUGAUAAUUGAAAAAUUAAGUCAUAAUUUAUUGGUUGAUUAUAUCAUUAACUAUUUCUUUAUUUUAUAUUUAGGUUACGAGGAAAUUAUCAUGAAUCCAAUUAUUUCUGCUGCUUCUGUUAUUGCUGCUGGGUUGGCCGUAGGGCUUGCUUCUAUUGGACCUGGGGUUGGUCAAGGCACUGCUGCAGGGCAAGCUGUAGAAGGGAUUGCACGACAACCGGAGGCAGAGGGAAAAAUACGAGGUACUUUAUUGCUUAGUUUGGCUUUUAUGGAAGCUUUAACAAUUUAUGGACUGGUUGUAGCAUUAGCACUUUUAUUUGCUAAUCCUUUUGUUUAAUCCUAAAAAAAUAGAAAUACAUAUCCUUUUUUCCGUGGACUUGCUUUACCGGUCUUGCUUUUUCGAAUUCUAUUUAUAUUAAUAUUUCACUCCUAUAAUUAUUUAUCCGUUCGGACAAGAACACAGGGGAAGGACUAAUUGAAAGGUGAAGAAUUCACAUACUGAUUCGCCCUCUUUCUUCUCUUUUUUAGUCCAAUGACCCCCCCUUUUUUUUAAGAUAAUUUUUCUCAAGUGUUAAAACUUGAGAGAUUUUGCAAUGGAUAUAAGAACUGGUAUCUAAUUCGAAUAAGUAUCAUUCUUUUAGGGAAUCUUCCAAUUGAUUGACCAAUCCAAAUAAUAUAUGGAUAUAUAUAUAUAGAUAGAUCUAUCUAUAUAUAUAUCUAACUAAUAUAGGAAUCUUAGAAAGAUAAUUAGUCUAUUCAUAAGAGGAGAUGAGAUCAUAUGAAAAAUAUAACCGAUUCUUUCCUUUGUUUGGGCUACUGGCCAUCCGCCGGAAGUUUCGGGUUUAAUACCGAUAUUUUAGCAACAAAUCCAAUAAAUCUUAGUGUAGUGUUAGGUGUAUUGGUUUUUUUUGGAAAGGGAGUGUGUGCGAGUUGUUUAUUUCAAAGAAUAGAUUGGAUCCAACCAAACUGCACUUUUUAGUUAUAACUAAGAAAAUGUGCAUAAUCCCGCGAAUUACUUCUGAAAAUUACUUCUGAAUUAAUGAAAUUUUUUCAAUAAUUUAAGAAAAAAUAUUUAAGAACUAUAGCAUUUCGCGAUUUAUUGGUAAUCCACUUUGAUUCUCUAUUAACCAAUAAUUUUGGACUAUUACCAUGGUUAAAGUGAAUAGUUUGAAGUCUAGACGCAGUGUAGUACUCUUUCUACCACUAUGUUAAUACAGAAAUGAAAUGGUUUCGAUAAAAUUAUUAGAUUUUUUUUUCGAUAUAGAACACUCAUGUCGAUAAAAUGGCUUGAAUCCUAUUUACUUACGGCAAGAAAUUGAAAAACGGGUUAAUUUAACCCUCCCUUUUGUACAAUGCGUAAUCGAUGACCUAUGUAUAAAUGAAUAAGAAUUCUUUGGAUUUGAAGAAAAAAAACAACUUUGCUGACAUAUAUUUGUUUGGUCAGAAGAGUCCUCCGAAUAUUCUGGUCUUAUAUUGGUAAUUGUUUUCAAUAUUUUAAAAAUAAAAAUAGCGAAGAGAGGAUAGGCUCAUUACAUAAAAAAUUGGUAAAUUUCCCAUAAGUAAUUGAGUGUGAGAGCCAAAUGAAUCGAAAGAUUCAUGUUUGGUUCGGGAAGAGAUCCUAGACAUUUUGAAAUGAAUGGAAAGAGAGUCUACUUUCAUUAAGUGAUUUAUUAGAUAAUCGAAAACAGAAAAUCUUGAGAACUAUUCGAAACUCAGAAGAAUUACGGGAAGGGGCCAUUGAACAGCUGGAAAAAGCCCAAGCCCGCUUAAGGAAAGUCGAAACGGAAGCAGAUCGUUUUCGGGUGAAUGGCUAUUCUGAGAUCGAACGAGAAAAAUUGAAUUUAAUUAAUUCAAUUUAUACGACUUUGGAACAAUUAGAAAAUUACAAAAACGAAGCCAUUCAUUUUGAACAACAAAGAGUGAUUAAUCAAGUCCGACAACGGGUUUUACAACAAGCCUUACAGGGAGCUCUAGGAACUCUAAAGAGUUGCUUGAACAACGAGUUACAUUUACGUACUGUCAGUGCUAAUAUUGGCAUGUUUGGGACGAUGAAAGAAAAAAUAACUGAUUAGUCUUUCUAUUAUAAAAUAGAGUAUAGGCAUUAUUUUUUUCUUCUAAAAAAAUAAAAUUAAGAAAUUUUCAUGGUAACCAUUCGUGCAGAUGAAAUUAGUAAAAUUAUCCGUGAACGCAUUGAGCAAUAUAAUACGGAAGUAAAAAUUGUAAAUACGGGUACCGUACUUCAAGUAGGCGACGGUAUUGCUCGUAUUUAUGGUCUUGAUGAAGUAAUGGCGGGUGAAUUAGUGGAAUUUGAAGAGGGUACUAUAGGCAUUGCUUUGAAUUUGGAAUCCAAAAAUGUUGGUGUUGUAUUAAUGGGUGAUGGUUUGAUGAUACAAGAGGGAAGUUCAGUAAAAGCAACAGGAAGAAUUGCUCAGAUACCUGUAAGUGAGGCUUAUUUGGGUCGUGUUAUAAAUGCCCUGGCUAAACCAAUUGAUGGUCGAGGAGAAAUUUCAGCUUCGGAAUCUCGAUUAAUCGAAUCUCCUGCUCCCGGUAUUAUUUCGAGACGUUCCGUAUAUGAGCCUCUCCAAACAGGACUUAUUGCUAUUGAUUCGAUGAUCCCCAUAGGACGUGGCCAACGAGAAUUAAUUAUUGGAGACAGACAAACGGGUAAAACAGCAGUAGCCACAGAUACUAUUCUCAAUCAACAGGGACAAAAUGUAAUAUGUGUUUAUGUAGCUAUUGGUCAAAAAGCAUCUUCUGUGGCUCAAGUGGUGAAUACCUUACAAGAAAGAGGAGCAAUGGAAUACACUAUUGUAGUAGCUGAAACAGCGGAUUCUCCAGCUACAUUACAAUACCUCGCCCCUUAUACAGGAGCAGCUCUGGCUGAAUAUUUUAUGUACCGUGAACGUCACACUUUAAUCAUUUAUGACGAUCUCUCCAAACAAGCACAGGCUUAUCGCCAAAUGUCUCUUCUAUUACGAAGACCACCUGGUCGCGAAGCUUAUCCAGGGGAUGUUUUUUAUUUACAUUCACGUCUUUUGGAAAGAGCCGCUAAAUUAAGUUCUCAGUUAGGCGAAGGAAGUAUGACUGCUUUACCAAUAGUUGAAACUCAAUCGGGAGAUGUUUCAGCUUAUAUUCCUACUAAUGUAAUUUCCAUUACAGAUGGCCAAAUAUUCUUAUCUGCCGAUCUAUUCAAUGCUGGAAUCAGACCCGCUAUUAAUGUAGGUAUUUCCGUUUCCAGAGUUGGAUCGGCGGCUCAAAUUAAAGCCAUGAAACAAGUAGCUGGUAAAUUAAAAUUGGAAUUAGCACAAUUCGCAGAAUUAGAAGCUUUUGCCCAAUUCUCUUCUGAUCUCGAUAAAGCUACUCAAAAUCAAUUAGCAAGAGGUCAACGAUUGCGCGAGUUGCUUAAACAAUCCCAAUCAGCUCCUCUUACCGUGGAAGAACAGAUAAUAACUAUUUAUACUGGAACGAAUGGUUAUCUUGAUUCAUUAGAAAUUGGACAGGUAAGGAAAUUUCUUGUUGAGUUACGUGCUUACUUAAACACGAAUAAACCUCAAUUCAAAGAAAUCAUAUCUUCUACCAAGACAUUCACUGGGGAAGCAGAAGUCCUUUUGAAGGAAGCUAUUCAAGAACAGAUGGAACUCUUUUUACUACAGGAACAGGUAGAAAAAAAUUGAUUAAUCAUUUAAUAACUUUAUAAUUUCACUUUCAAAUUCUUAUAAUUAGUAUCUUUUAAUAUCUUUUUAUUUCAUUUGAAUAUAAUAUUAAUAUAUAAAUAAAAUGAAUUCGAAUGAAAAUAGAAAAAAAAAAAAAAAAAAUAGAAUAAAUAAAAUAGAAGGACAAGGUAUAAAUUGCAUAUAUUUGCAUAUAUAUGCAAAUAUAUGCAAACAAUUUGCGUCCAAUAGGAUUUGAACCUAUACCUAAGGUUUAGAAGACCUCUGUCCUAUCCAUUAGACAAUGGACGCUUCUAUUUUUUUUUUUUUCUUUUAUUCUUUAACCUUAUUAACUAAAAAAGGUUAAAGAAUAAAAGAAUUCUAUAUUCUAUAUAUAGGAAUUCUAUAUUCUAUAUAUAGAAAAGAUAUAGAAAAUUUAUAGAAAAUAAAUAAAAUUCAAUUUGUUAUAAAUACCUAAAAUAAAUACCUAAAACUAAAUUAAGAAAUUAAAAAAAAGAAUUGACAAAUUCAUUUAAAAUUCUAGAUUCAUUCUAUAAGAAAAAAGAUAGAUUCAAAUAGAAUAAAUAGAGAAUAUAAGCGGGUAGCGGGAAUCGAACCCGCAUCGUUAGCUUGGAAGGCUAGGGGUUAUAGUCGACGUUGAUUCAUCAUUUUGAUUUCAAUUUAACGUCUCUAAUUCAAAACCGAACGUGAAACUUUUGUUUCAUUCGGCUCCUUUACAGAAAAAAUUAAGAGAUGGAAAAUCAAAAAAUUGACCCAUAACAUCUAUGUCAGCCUUUUUGUUUUGUAUGAAUAAGUUUAAAACAUCUUGCUUUUUAGAUGAUCCCUCUAGAAGAGCAGUAUUAUAAUAAUCUAUGUUUUUUUUCUAGUUACUUCGUUCUCUAUUUCUAUUUAAUAGAAUCUUUAGGAAAAGCAUAAAAUUUCUGUCGAGCUAAAAAAAUGUAGAUGUCUCUAGUAAACUAAAAGAAUCGUUUAAUAGCUAUUUUGCUUCAAUCUCUACUAUACAAAAAAAUGGAAGAUUUAGUUACGAUUAGAAAGAAACUUUCUAUAUAUCUCUCCAUAGAUCCUUUCGUCAUACUCAAAAAAAUUCGGAUUAUAGAUCCAAUUCCAAAAACUUAUGUUUCAUAAUUUUAGAACUCAAGUUGUCAAUUUAGAAUUGAUUCUUCUUGUAUACAAAUUACGAUAAUGUAUAUUAUACCGCAAAUCAUUCAUUGAGGGUAUAAAGGAUUCCCUUUAAGUAAGAAAUAAAGUUUUUGAUCGGAAUAUGAAUCAAACGGGGGAUCCCUUAACUAUUUAGGGGUCCAUGGAACGAAUCGCACUUUUACCACUAAACUAUACCCGCUACAAUACAAUUAUUGUAUCUUUUGUCGAACAAAGCAAUCAGACAAAAUCAAUAAAGAAAUAGAGGGGCAUAAUAUUCAAUAUUCUAAUAAUUCGAGUAUUGACAUGUUUAAUUAGAGUAUCUUCUAAUGAAAUUUGAAAAACGGGGUGAAUUACAUUUUUGGAUUUUGUUUUUGCUGAAGGUAUUUUUUUUUCGAAUAAAGUACAUUCAAUUCAAAUAAAUCAUUGUUAUUCAAUAUUCAUGGGAAUAAAAAGAGCCCGACUAGGUACUGGCCGGGCUCUUUGGCUGUAGAAAAAGAAAAAAGGAAACUAAAAAAUAGAAGAAUAUAGAAUAUAAUAAUGAAUCGAAAUCAAAUAGAAAAAAAAGAGAUAAGAUAAAAAAUAAGAUAAAAAGAAGUCUUUUUUUUUCAAGCUCCAUUUUUUGCUCUUCUUGUUUAUGUGAUAUAACAUAAACAAAGUAAUUCUAUUUUUCAAUUGGGGAGAGAUGGCUGAGUGGACUAAAGCGUCGGAUUGCUAAUCCGUUGUACAAAUUUUUGUACCGAGGGUUCGAAUCCCUCUCUUUCCGUUGAUAAUUUGAUAUUUUUUGUUGAACUUCUUUGUUUUCCUUGUUUGUUUGAUUUUUUUUUAUUUACUAGUUAAAGAUGUUAAAAUAAAGAAAAUCCUAAAAAUAUUUUAAAAUCCAGCACAAGCAAGAAAAACACAGAAUCCACCUUUUUCUUAUUCUUCACGCCCUGGAUUACGUCCUGGAUCGUUAGAUAGGAAUCCGAAGAUGAAAAGAGAAACGAAGAAUAUCACUACCGUGUAAACAAAUAGUUUUAGAGUAAGCAUUAUAAAAUCUCCAAGAUAAUUAAAAAACGACAAAGAAAGAGAAUAGAUUCUCUUAUAUUACAACAAAUUUUGUUUCUUUUAAUACUAAGUUUCUAAAAAAUUAAAUUUUUGUGAGGAGAUAUAUAAGAUAAGUUUCGAAAAUGGAUUUGUAGUAAGAGUCGAGUCUUUUAUUACAAAUUAUCAAUAAUUACUUUUACCAAAAAUAUUCUUUCAUAUCUAUAAUCUAGGUAUUCUAUUGGUGAUGGGUUCAAAUCGAAUAAUAGGAUUAGGAUUUCUCAAUUGGCAAAACGUAGAUGAUGAGAUGGUCCGUAUUUUUUCGUAUAUAUCCAAAAAUUUCAAUAUUGGAAUCGAUAAUUCACACUGUAAGACUUAUUUGAUCUUUUAAAUUGUUAAAAUGUUCGAAUUUUAGUUUUCUGAUAAAUUCUUAAUUUUUUUUUAAGACAUUACUCAAAUUACAGAUAUCAUCGAAAACUUACAGCAGCUUGCCAAACAAAAGCUAAAAGAAAAAAGAGUAAGGGUAUUACUGGCAUAAUAUCCACAAUUGGAUUCAAGAAAGCGUAGGCUUCGGGCAAUUUCGCCGAGAAAAAACUACUUGAAUAAAGGACGGAGUGAAUACAAAUACAGACCAAAUUAAAGAUAUUAAGCAUAACAAACAUUUUGUUCUUUAAGAAAAUAUAAAUUAUUUUUGUUUUUUUUUUAAUUAGAAUUUUCAUUUUUAUUGUAUUUUAUAUAUAUAUAAAAUACAAUAAAAAGGAAAAGAAAUUAAUAUUAAUUUAUGAAUAAAACUAAAAAAAAAUGAAUAAAAUAAGAUAAAACCCUCCAAAAUCCUUCUUUGAUUUGAACUUAUCUAGUUCAAAAUCUUUUUUUAUUCUGAAAUAAAAAAAUCGAAUAAAUCACACUUCUAUACAAUAUCUUAAUAGAAUUGUACGUAAUGAUCAAUAAAUUGAGUCUUAUCCUAUCUAUAUCUAGAUAGAUAUAGAUAGAUAUGUAGAUACGCAUAUAAAAAUACUAGCAACAAAUUUUUCUAUAGAAAUUUUUGAACUGGAAUUGACGAACAACCAAUAUAAAUAAUAGUGUUUAUUAGUAUAAAAUCGAAAAUGGGGCGUGGCCAAGUGGUAAGGCAACGGGUUUUGGUCCCGCUAUUCGGAGGUUCGAAUCCUUCCGUCCCAGAGCAUAUCCAUUCAUGAUGUAUAUCAUAUUGGAAUACAGAUUGUAUAUCAGAAUUAAAAUUAUCCCCCUUUUUGAAUUAUUCGUCUCUAAUCUAAAUCGACUUGCUUUCGAAUAUGUGGAUUCAAAAACAAGUCGAGUUUUUGUUACUUUCUUUUUUGUAUCAAAAUUGUUUUAAUGUAAUCAUUUCAUUAUAUAUAUCUAUUAUAAUUUUAUAAUUUUUUCAAUUUUUUUUUUUCUUUUUUUCUAAUAUUUUUAAAUUCCCAUUUUUCUACUUUACAAAUUCUAAAAAGAGAGUAGAAAAUAGAUUGAUAAAAUACCGAGUUAAUUUUCAUUUACGUCUUUACUUUAAAAAAAGUUUUCGUUAUAUAGAAGAAAAACCCUGACCUAAAAAGGAUAGAUUAUUAUGUAUCGAUUGAAUCAAUGACUAUUCAUGAUUCCAUAAUUGAAUCAAUUACAUACUGGAUCCAAGCUAAAGGAAUGUUAUGGUAAAACUUCGUUUGAAACGAUGUGGUAAAAAGCAACGUGCGACUUGAAAGACAUGAUUAGAUUAGCUGUGGAUUCUUACAUCCGCCAUUUUUUCUAGUAUAUAGAAAUGAACAUGCUCUUGACUCGACAUCGUUUGUUCUGUUCCACUAGAACUUAUUGUUUUGGGGACGGGAAAGCAGUUGAUGAUGUAAGUUGAUGAUGUAAAUAGUACAUGAUGGAGCUCGAGUUUAUUCAUUUAUCAGGGGCAAGUAUCUAAGGUUAGUAAAAAUUAAUAAGUUAGAAAAACUUCGUAAGUUUAUUUUUGAUAGAAAAAUAGAAAGGAUCCAAUUUGAGCAAGGUUCAAAAAAAUGGUUGGAAUUAGUAAAACUGUUUUGAUCAAAAGUGUAGCCGCAGGAAUUAACCUUCUAUUUGUAUGAUUCUUUCAUAGAAAGAAAAAAUGGUAUGUUGCUGCCAUUUUUGAAAAGAUUGAAGAUUCCCGAAGUAAUGCCUAAACCCAAUGAUUCAAAGAAAAGCUAAAAGAUCAUGGAACAAGUAAAUACCAUUUUCAAAUUGUCUCAUCAAUUCUAUUAUCAAAAAUUAUAAAAAAUAAAUUAUAAAGAAACGAAACACGGGCAAGAAAGGGGAGUAGAGACCACUCAAUAAAUGAAAUAGCUACUAAAGGCUUUGUUCUCUUUUUAGUUAUUUGAUAAUUAUCCAAUUUGAGUUAUGGAGUUAUAAAUAUGAGGAGUUUUUUUUCAAAAAGAAAAUACGAAAGAAAAAUACUUAAGUCAUAGUUUAAUUGAUUUGAUGAUUUUAUUGAUCUAUUUGACAUCAUAAUUUUCUACAUACAUUAUAAUUUUUUAUUUUCUCGAGCCGUACGAGGAUAAAACUUCUUAUACGUUUCUAGGGGGGGGGUGCAUUAUUUAUCUAUCUCUAUCCCAAUGAGCCGUUUAUCGAAUCGUUGCAAUCGAUGUUCGAUCUCGAAGAGAGGGAAGAGAUCUUCGGAAAGUGGGUUUUUAUGAUCCAAUAAAGAAUCAAACCUAUUUAAAUAUUCCUGUUAUUCUAUAUUUCCUUGAACGAGGCGCUCAACCUACAGGAACUGUUCAGGACAUUUCAAAAAGGGCUGGUGUUUUUAUGGAACUUAGCUCGAAUCAACAAACGAAAUUCCAUUAAUGAAAUAAAAAAAAGGGGGUGUGGAUGACUUGUAUAUAGAUUUCUAAAACUCUUUUCUCUUUUAUCCCCCCGCUCUCUUGUUCUAUUCAUACCUAAUUUUUCUUAUUUCUUGUUGUUUAUAUAGAAUGAUAGGAUGUAGUUUUCUAUAGCCAGAAAAAGAAAUGAAAUUUGCAUCGAUCUUCAAAACAAAAUGAAAAAAUGUAUAGAGAUAAAAGAUAGAAUAUAGGAAAAAGAAAAAAAAUAGUCACUAAAUGAAGUAAUUGGACUUAUAAAUAGAUAAAUAGAUUACCCCUAUUGAGGUACUUUUUUUUUUAAUGUUUCUUAUUAUUUUUGAUUUUAUUAUCAUUUCUUUUUAAUACCAACUCGCUCUUUAUUAUUUUCAGUUACUAAUCCUAGUUAUUUGAUUUAUAUACUUUUUUUAUAGUAAAUACAUGAGAUAGAAUAUUCAAAAUGGAAUAUUUCUAUUAUUUUAUUCUUCAUCCAAUGACUAUACAUUCAUUAUAUUUUUGUGUAAAUAGAGGAAAAACUCGAUGGAAAAAUGGUGGUUUAAUUCUAUGUUGUUUAAUAGGAAGUUAGAAUACAGGUGUGAAUUAAGUAAAUCAAUGGAUAGUCUUGGUCCUAUUGAAAAUACCAGUCUAAGGGAAGACCCUAAAAUUUUAACCGAUAUAGAAAAAAAAAUUCACAGGGAUUUGGAUUAUUUAGAAAUGGAAGGUUUUUUUUCUAGCGAUCUGAAUACUGUUUCUAAGAAUGAUGAUGAUCAUUACAUGUAUGAGACUCAAUUUAGUUUUAACAAUAAUAUUACUAGUUUCAUUGAUAGUUGCAUUGAGAGUUUCAAUUUAGGUGAUAUUGACAAAUACAAUGAUAUUUAUUUUUAUAGUUACAUUUUUUUGAAGGGCAGAAAUUGUAGUGAAAGCGAUAAUUCUAGUACUAGUAUAAUAACUAGUACGAAUGAUACAAAUGAUAGUGAUUCCACUAUAGGAGAAAGUUCUAAUAAUCUCGAUGAAAGUCAAAAAUAUAAGCAUUUGUGGCUUGAAUGCGAAAAUUGUUAUGGAUUAAAUUAUAAAAAAUUUUUUAAAUCAAAAAUGAAUAUUUGUGAAUACUGUGGAUAUCAUUUGAAAAUGGGCAGUUCAGAUAGAAUCGAACUUUCGAUUGAUUCGGGUACUUGGAAUCCUAUGGAUGAAGACAUGGUUUCUCUGGAUCCUAUUGAAUUUCAUUCCGAAGAGGAACCUUAUAAAGAUCGUAUUGAUUCUUAUCAAAGAAAAACGGGAUUAACUGAGGCUGUUCAAACAGGUACUGGUCAACUAAAUGGUAUUCCUGUAGCUAUUGGAAUUAUGGAUUUUCAGUUUAUGGGGGGCAGUAUGGGAUCCGCAGUAGGUGAGAAAAUCACCCGUUUGGUAGAAUAUGCUACUAAUCAACUUUUACCUCUUAUUCUGGUAUGUGCGUCCGGAGGAGCGCGUAUGCAAGAAGGAAGUUUGAGCUUGAUCCAAAUGGCUAAAAUCUCUUCUGCUUUAUAUGAUUAUCAAAAAAAUAAAAAGUUAUUCUAUGUAUCCAUACUUACAUCUCCCACUACUGGGGGGGUAACUGCUAGUUUUGGCAUGUUGGGGGAUAUCAUUAUUGCCGAACCAAAUGCUUAUAUUGCAUUUGCUGGUAAAAGAGUAAUUGAACAAACAUUGAAUAAGGCAGUACCUGAAGGUUCACAAGCAGCUGAAUAUUUAUUCCAUAAGGGCUUAUUUGAUUCAAUCGUACCGCGUAAUCUUUUAAAGGGCGUUCUGAGUGAGUUAUUUCAAUUCCAUAAUUUCUUUUCUUUGACUAAAAAUGAUAAGGCAUAGCCAUAAAUUCUUUGAAUAAGAAAAGGGUAUAUUAUAUUAUGAUAUAUAUUGGCUUAGCUAUAAUCACUAGAAUUAUUAUAUACUAAGUAUAAAUAUAUAGAAAUUCUAGUGAUUAUAGACUAUCUUUAUAUAAUAAUAUAAAUAAGAAUAAAAAAAUAAAAAAAAAAAAGAAUCUAUAUAAAUAUCAAAAUAAUAUAUAUAAGGUACAAAUAGUAAAUCGAGGUACCCAUUUUAUGAUAAACUUUCCUUCCAUUUUUGUUCCUCUAGUAGGCCUAGUAUUUCCGGCAAUUGCAAUGGCUUCUUUAUUUCUUCAUGUUCAAAAAAACAAGAUUUUUUAGAUACAGAAAACAAAGUAAAAUUCUGGGGUUUUUUAUUCCCCAAUUAUAAUACUAAAUUCAAAAAAAGGAGAGUAAUGAGUAUAAUCUUUCGCUCAGACGAUGUACUGAUAUAUUCUAUGGCGGAGGUUCGAAGAACAAGCAAUUUAUUUUGGGCCGUUUUCACUUUGUUAGGUUCAUUGGGGUUAUUGUUCGUUGCAAUUUCCAGUUAUCUUGGUAUGGAUUUGUUCUUUAUUUCUGAGAAAAUUAGUGAUUUUUCUUUUAUUCCGGACUUUAUUUAUUUUCCAUUUAUUCCACAAGGGGCCACGAUGGCUUUUUAUGGAAUCGCGGGUCUCUUUAGUAGUUUUUAUUUUGGGUCGAUUAUUUUUUGGGAUAUAGGUGGUGGUUUUGAUAUCUUCAAUAAAAAAGGGAAAAAGGUACGUUUUGUUCGUUGGGGAUUUCCUGGAAAAAAUCGUCGUAUUAUUCUCGAAAUACCUAUGAACGAGCUUCACUCCAUCAGAAUAAUAACAGAAGUUAAAGAAGAGGGUAUUUUUACUCGUACCAGUACUUUUGAGAGUAUCGUUUAUCUGGAAACCAUAGAACAGGGGUUUAUUCCCUUGACUCGUAUUGAAGAUAAUUUGAAUGGGACACAAAUUGCACAUAAAGCUGGCGAAUUAUCUGUAUUUUUGGGUGUACCACUUUUUUACUGAUGAGAAUUGAACUUAAUUAGAAAUUAAAUUGCACAAAAAGCUUCAGAAUUGUCCUAUUUAUUUUGUGUACCUUUUGAAAUAUUUUGAAAAAAAAAAACGUUUUUUUUUUUCAAAAUAUUUCCAUUUUUAUAGAUGAGGCGUUAUUUGAUUUAGAAAUCCGAUUAUUAUAUUCCUAACCCGAAGUGCUCCUUGGUGUAUUCAUAAAAAGUAAUAAUUUUUCUUCGAAUCUUAGCAAUUGAUAUCCUUUCGAAACACCAUUUUUUUCUUCAUUUGAAUUGACAGUGAAUUCUUUCGAUUUCUUAUUCGAUUUAUGUAUUCUUUUUUCUAAAUUAAACAAGGCAAGGACUAACUCCCGAACUGCAAGUAAAAAAAAUGAUAGAAUAGAAUAUAGAUUUAUCUAUAAGCUCUAUGACUUGUAAUAGAACUUAUGCUUGAUAGAAAGGUUAUUAUCAUAUAGAGUUGACGAAUGAGAUGAAGUUGAGUUCAUUAAAUAAAGACGAAAAAUGACAAAAAAGAAAACAUUCAUUCCCCUUCUAUAUCUUACAUCUAUAGUCUUUUUGCCCUGGUGUAUCUCUUUCACAUUUAAGAAAAGUCUCGAAUCUUGGUUUAUUGAUUGGUGGAAUACUAGGCAAUCCGAAAUUUUCUUGAAUGAUAUUAAAGAAAAGAGUAUUCUAAAAAAAUUCAUAGAAUUUGAAGAACUGUUUUUCUUAGAUGACAUGUUAAAGGAAUGUCCGGAAACACAUCUACAAAACCUGCGUACUGGAAUCUAUAAAGAAACAAUCCAAUUAAUCAAAACGCACAACGAAGAUCGUAUGAAUACGAUUUUGCACUUCUCGACAAAUAUAAUUUGUUUCUUUAUUCUAAGCGGUUAUUCUAUUCUUGGUAAUCAAGAACUUGUUCUUAUUAACUCUUUGGUUCGAGAAUUUAUAUAUAAUUUAAGUGACACAAUAAAAGCUUUUUCUAUUCUUCUAUUAACUGAUUUAUGUAUAGGAUUCCAUUCAACCCAUGGUUGGGAACUAGUGAUUGGUUUCGUCUAUAAAGAUUUUGGAUUUGCUCAAAAUGAUCAAAUUAUAUCUGGUCUUGUUUCCACUUUUCCAGUCAUUUUAGAUACAAUUUUAAAAUAUUGGAUUUUUCGUUAUUUAAAUCGCGUAUCUCCAUCACUUGUAGUGAUUUAUCAUUCAAUGAAUGAUUGACUGACAAAAUGAUUCACUUAUCAAAUUUUAAUUUAAAGUUUUUUAGCUAAAAAGAAAAUAACUUUGCUUUUUCCCUUCUUUUUAACCCCCUUAAAUGAAAAAAGGGGUUCCCCGACUUGGAUAGGGAACUAUGCGAGUGACCUACCUAAUCUUAUUGUAGAAAUUUUCAGGAUCAAUGAUUAGACCAUGCAAACUAGAAAUGCUUUUUCUUGUAUAAAGGAAGGGAUUACUCGAUCCAUUUCCAUAUCGAUCAUGAUAUAUAUAAUAAUUCGAGCACCCAUUUCAAACGCAUAUCCAAUUUUUGCACAGCAGGGUUAUGAAAAUCCCCGAGAAGCAACCGGUCGUAUUGUCUGUGCCAAUUGCCAUUUAGCUAAUAAGCCCGUGGAUAUUGAGGUUCCACAAGCGGUACUUCCUGAUACUGUAUUUGAAGCAGUUGUUCGAAUUCCUUAUGAUAUGCAAGUGAAACAAGUUCUUGCUAAUGGUAAAAAGGGAGCUUUGAAUGUGGGGGCUGUUCUUAUUUUACCGGAAGGUUUUGAAUUGGCACCCCCCGAUCGUAUUUCGCCUGAGAUUAAAGAGAAGAUAGGCAAUCUGUCUUUUCAAAACUAUCGUCCUACAAAAAAAAAUAUUCUUGUGGUAGGCCCUGUUCCUGGUCAAAAAUAUAAAGAAAUCACCUUUCCUAUUCUUUCCCCGGAUCCCACUACUAAGAGAGAUGUUCAUUUCUUAAAAUAUCCUAUAUACGUAGGUGGGAACAGGGGAAGGGGUCAGAUUUAUCUUGACGGGAGCAAGAGUAAUAAUAAUGUGUAUAAUGCUACAGCAGCGGGUAUGGUAAAAAAAAUCAUACGAAAAGAAAAAGGGGGAUACGAAAUAACUAUAGUGGAUGCAUUGGAUGGGCGUGAAGUGAUUGAUAUUAUACCUCCAGGACCAGAACUUCUUGUUUCAGAAGGUGAAUCUAUCAAACUUGAUCAGCCAUUAACAAGUAAUCCAAAUGUGGGUGGAUUUGGUCAGGGGGAUGCGGAAAUAGUACUUCAAGAUCCGUUACGUGUCCAAGGUCUCUUGUUCUUCUUCGCAUCUAUUAUUUUAGCACAAAUCUUUUUAGUUCUUAAGAAGAAACAAUUUGAGAAGGUUCAAUUGUCCGAAAUGAAUUUCUAGUCCCGCAUAUUUAUCAACAUAUUAAACUCAUAAAAAUAACUCAAUUUUUUUGUUGAUAAUUUAUGUAAUUCUAUUCAGUAUAAUAUCAGUAUAAUAGAAUAAAAAAAUUAUGAAAAGAUCUUUGGUUCUGUAUAGUCUUUUUAUACUAUAUUUAAAGAGUUACUUGUAACGUAAUACAAAUAAACUCGAGUAUGGAUAUUGUCAGGAAGACUAUUUGACUUUGUUUUUUCAACCCCCCAAAAAAUUCGAAUAUUAUGGUUAUGACACUGUUUUUUUCAGAUUUCAUUUUUCUAUAAUAGAGAGUUCUAUUAUAGAAAUUUCGAUUGUAAAAUACAAUAAAAUUGGAUUCGAUACUAAACAUAAAAUAGAUAUCUAUAUAGAUAGAUAAUUUGAAACAAAAUCAAUUAAAAUAUGGAAAAGGUACUCUAGGGGGGAUUUUUUGUCUUUUCCUAGAGUCCGAUUCCUAUUCCUUCUUGUUUGUGUCGAAAUAGAAAUAUUCUAAAAAUAUCAAUAAAAUAAUCUUUUUUAACCCCUUCCUGAAAAAUCCUAUAUCUUAGUUUCUAUUUUUUCCAACUUAGAAUAUUUCUGCCAUAUAAUAUUUUAUUGCAUAUAAUACGUAGUGAACAAAUAAAAAGAGAGGGGGUUGGGGAAUUUGAUUAAACAAAUUGAAUUUCUUCAAUUAACUUGUAAAAAAAAAAAAGAAUGAAAUGGAGUUUUUUGAAACAUCGGAAAAAGUAGUCGUUUAUAUGAAUAAAAAAAGAUUAGAAUUAUUAAUAACUCACCUGGGAUCCACUCUUUCUUUGACGAAUUCGAGUGGAUCCCAGGUGAGUUAUUACGCUUUCAUUUCAAAAAAAAAACAAAUUCUAACACGAUUACUACAGAGAUGAGCCCAAUCCGGAAUAUGAACCAUAAAAGAAAAUACCAAUUAAACCGAUCACAGUAAUACCAGUUACAGUACCUAUUAUCCAAAGAGGAAUCCUUCCAGUAGUAUCGGCCAUUUAUCCCACUUUCCUCCACAUUUAAUCAAGUAGUCAGUCAUGCUAAAGACAUAAACAGUCAUAGAUAAUUAUGAAACGAUAUCCUUCCGAAUGGGAUAAAAUAAUUCCUUAUAUAUUUUUUACUAUUCCUAUUUCUUCUAUUAAUUGAAGAAAUAAUUUGAAAAUAAAACAGCAAGUACAAAAAUGAGUAAUAACCCCCAGUAGAGACUGGUACGAUUCAAUUCAACAUUUUGUUCAUUUGGGUUUGAUUGUGUCGUAGCUCUAUAAUUCAAAUUAGGUUUAUCGUUGGAUGAACUGCAUUGCUGAUAUUGAUCCCAAAAAAGAAACAGUGGGUACCGCUAGUCCGUGAACAGCCAACCAUCGUACUGUAAAAAUUGGAUAGGUCCUAUCUAUGGUCAUUGGAGCCUCCUAAAAAGAUCUACUAAAUUCAUCAAGUUGUUCCAAAGGAUCAAAACGGCCAGUUAUUAAUGGAAUUCCUUGUCGGCUCUCUGUAAAAUAUUCGUUUGGGCGGGGGCUUCCAAAAACAUCGUAAGCUAGACCCGUGCUGACAAAUAACCAACCUGCAAUGAAUAGGGAGGGUAUAGUAAUGCUAUGAAUAAUCCAGUAUCGGAUACUGGUAAUAAUAUCAGCAAAAGAACGUUCUCCUGUGCUUCCAGACAUGUUGAACUCCACAUAUUCUUGUACAGUCAAAAGGGGGAUCGAUUCCAUAAAAUCAGUAAGUAGAAAUUUACUGAAAUGUAAUCCUUGUUAGAUCGUCCAUUUUGUACCAACGGUGUCUUUUGAGUAUACCGAAUCAGUAUAGCUAUCCUUCUUCUAACAGAGCAAUGAAAUUUCACAAUCGAAAUCUAGGACUAGAUAAGUUCUUUCUUCUUUCUUCAUUGAUUGUCUCGAUGUAUUCAAAAAUCCGAUAGAAAAUUUUUUGAUAGUACAUUUUUAUAGUAAUAGUAUAAAAUGAAGGUUCUUCACAUUUCACAUUAUUAGUUUCGGACUAAAAACUAAGUAUCAAUUAAAAUCGGAAUAUGGUAAAUUGGUUUCUUAGAAUUCAUAAAGGAGAUUUUAUAUUUCUAGAAUUCAAUUAGAUGCCAAAUCUAUAAAUAUACUUUUUGUGGUUGUUGAAGAUAUUUUUUCUAUUUUAUUCUAUAUUAAUUCAAAAUUAAAGAAAUUGAAAUAACAAUUGAAAUAACAAAGUUAUUUUUCUUUGUUUUUGUUUUAAUAUUCAUUUUUCUUUCUAAUAGAAAUAGAAUUCUAUUCUAGAAUAAUAUAUAAAAUAAUACGAAAGAUUUUCAUUAUCAUUAGAUUAGUUUACUCAAUUCAUGAGUUGAUUAAUAAGUCUGUUGAUUUGGAAUCACAGGAUGAGUAGAUGUCACAGAUGAUGAAUUUAUUUCUAAAUUAUGUCAUUCUAUUUCUCUUUUUAUUCGUCUGUAAUAAUUUAUUGAUGAAUCUCCAAUUUUCAAUUGUAUCUUUUAAGUAGUAUUUUUUCUUAUCUUCUUUUUUCUCUCAAAAAUGGAAAUUUAGGGAAGUGCUUUAUAAACAGAUGUAUAAAAAUAACAUAUUUCAUUUAGCUUCUAUAUGCUCACUAUAACUAGUUAUUUCGGUUUUUUACUAGUGGUUUUAAUUAUAACCUCAUCUCUAUUUAUUGGUCUGAGUAAAAUACGACUUAUUUGAUUUGUAAUUUUGAGAGGAAUAGUCAAUUUUGGAAUAAGACAUUCUAUAGUUCCUUACUGUGUCAAUUUACAAUUCUCGGUCGUUGAGAUUCAUGAUCAAUACAGAUUAAUGGUUAAGGAUAGAUAUUACCUUUCUUUUUACCUUUCGAACAAAUAAAAAUGAUUGAAGUUUUUCUAUUUGGAAUCGUGUUAGGUUUAAUUCCCAUUACUUUGGCUGGAUUAUUUGUAACUGCAUAUUUACAAUACCGACGAGGUGAUCAGUUGGAUCUUUGAUUAAUUAAUGUCUCUUUUUUUGCGGAUUCCCUAUUUUUUUGUUUUAAUCCUAAUCUACAAGGAUUAAAUUCAGACUUUUUAAUGUUCAAUUAUUUCAGUGUAAUUAUCAUUCGAAAAAUACAAGAAUCACGUUCUGUAGGAUUUGAAUCAUCACGCUCUGUAGGAUUUGAACCUACGACAUCGGGUUUUGGAGACCCGCGUUCUACCGAACUGAACUAAGAGCGCUUUGUUUUCAUAAAUUAUUUUAUAUGAUCCAAAUCCAUUUUACAUGUAUAUACUAUAUCAAUAUAUAUACAUAUAGAUAUUCGGUAUGUAUGUCCAAUUGGAAUUCGUCUUCAAUUGGUCCCGUUUUAUUGCUCAUCUCAUAUAAUAAAUAUAUAAUACGGAAUAUAAUACGGAAUAUCAUAUGAUAAGUAAUAGUUAGGGAUAGGGAUGACAGGAUUUGAACCCGUGACAUUUUGUACCCAAAACAAACGCGCUACCAAGCUGCGCUACAUCCCUUUUCCAUUUGUUUCUAGUGUUAUUGUAAAGAAUCUUUGUCUUGUUUUCCACAUUUUUAUCUGUUGAUAUAUAGAUAUAUAUAUAAUAUAUAUCUAUCAUUUUUCUAAUUUUCUGCCAUUUUUUUUAGUUUCCUAUACUAUAAUAUAGAAUAUAAUAUGAAAAAGAAAAAAAAGAUUCUAAAGAAAUAUAACUAAUAUUCUUUAGAAUAAUCAAAAAGAAUAUUAAAUUCAAAUAAAUUUUAGAUAGAAAAAAGACUUAAAAAGGAGGAUUUGAAAUGCGAGAUCUAAAAACAUAUCUUUCCGUGGCACCAGUAGUAAGUACUCUAUGGUUCGGGGCUUUGGCGGGUCUCUUGAUAGAGAUCAAUCGUUUUUUUCCAGAUGCAUUGAUAUUCCCUUUUUUUUCAUUCUAGUUAUUGACACGGAAAGGGGUGAAGAAGAUUAUAGAUCCAAUUAAGUAUUAAAUAUAUGUAAUUAAUAUGUAAUUAAUCUCCUCUUCUUUAUUUCGUCUUUUAUUUCUUCUUUUUUUUACAAUUGUAAUAGAAUAAGUUAGGAAAGAGAAAGAAUAAGGGUUAAUUUGGCCUAAUUGAAAUUCGGAGUGAAACUCGGGAUCUCGUCCAGGCUUCCAUGGAAUUGAAUUAAUAAUUCAAUUCCAUUUCUAUUAAUAAAAGAGUGAAAGCAGAAAUUUAAAUGGAAUGUAUAGGGUGGGGGCAACAAUAUCAUAAAAAAUACUUAGUUAAAAAAACGAAAAUACUGUAUUGCAAUUGUAUUGCAAUUCGAAACGAAAUAUAGUUCGAGAUCAUUGUAUUAUUUUUGUACUAUAUUAAUCUUAAUCUUAAUUGGAACGAAAUCUUUCAAAAUUGGAUUUCGAAUUCUUAAUUUAUAUUUUCGUUUUUUCGUUCUUUUCUUUUUCUUAGAUUAUAAUCCGAAAACAAAAGAGUUAAGUGAAUUAAAAACCCAAGGGAGGUUCAUGGCCAAAGGUAAAGAUAUCCGAGUAAUUGUUAUUUUGGAAUGUACCGGUUGUGAUAAAAAGAGUGUUAAUAAGGAAUCAACGGGUAUUUCUAGAUAUAUAACUAAAAAGAAUCGACAGAAUACGCCUAGUCGAUUGGAAUUGAGAAAAUUUUGUCCCCGUUGUUGCAAACAUACAAUUCACGCAGAAAUAAAGAAAUAGAUCAAAUUGAUCGCUUGUGUGUUACCCUUCGAACCAAAGAACUUAACAUGUAAAAUGAUCUAUUUUUCUUAUCUAUAUAGAUAGAUCUAUCUGUAUUCUAUCAUUUACAGUUGAAUAUAUACAAAUAUCAGUAUAUAACAACAUAUAUUAAAAAAAUAACAACAUAUAUUAAAAAAGUCAGAAUAAAAAAACAAAUCCUUUAUAGUAUUUCUUGUAAUAAAUGUGAUUUUUGGAAUAGGGAUAAAUAAACCAUGGAAAAAUCUAAGCGACUCUUUAUGAAAUCCAAGCGAUCUUUUCGUAGGCGUUUGCCCCCGAUCCAAUCGGGGGACCGAAUUGAUUAUAAAAACAUGGGUUUAAUUAGUCGAUUUAUUAGUGAACAAGGAAAAAUAUUAUCCAGACGCGUAAAUAGAUUGACCUUAAAACAACAACGAUUAAUAACAAUUGCUAUAAAACAAGCUCGUAUUUUAUCUUCGUUACCUUUUCUUAAUAAUGAAAAACAAUUUGAAAAAAGCGAGUCAACCGCUAGAACUACUACUUUAAGAAAAAAAAAAUAUAGAAAUUAAGAAUUCGAAAUCCAAUUUUGAAUUGAGAUUUGAAUGAAAUAUUGAUUGAUGUUUUGUUUGAAAAUUACGACAAUUCAAUUUGGGUUUUUAUGUUGUAAGAAAAAAGAUAAUAGGUAACAAAGAAUCAUUUUUUUUUAUUCAGCGUGGUUGUUUAUUUUGAUAGCUUUAUCAUAUGAUAAAAAUUCAUAUGAUAAAGCUAUCAAAAUAAACAAAUUUAUAUUCUAUACCUUCCCGGAGUAAAGUCUAAGGGGAUUUUUGGUUUUUAUGAUAUCAUUGGCAAUCAUAAAAAGACAAUUCUGUUUUAAUAUAGCUAUUUGUGCAACUAUUUUACGAUUAAGAAGCAAUUGCCCCGUGUAUAGACUAUAUACUAAAUUACUAUAAAUAUAAUAUACUUUAAUAUUCCCGCGAAUUACUGCAUUUAUUCGACUAAUCCAUAAACCACGAAAAUCUCUUUUUUUCCUAUCUCUAUCCCGAUGAGCCGAAACCAAAGCUUUUAUUUUCUGUUGAGUAAUCGUUCGAGUAAGUCUUGAAUGAGCUCCUCGAAAACUUGAUGUAAAUAAACGAAUUUUUGUCCUUCGUUUCCGAGCUAUAUAUCCUCGUUUAAUUCUGGUCAUUGAAUAAUUGAGACUUUGAUGAAUAACUAUUUGAUUUUUCAGUUAUUCUUUUCUUCUUACUAGUCUAUUAAUAACAAAAAUGGAUUCUUCCAAUGUAUAAAAAAAAAAUUCCAAUGGCUCUUGCUACUAUAACCUCCCCAACCACGAUUUUAUAUAUAUAUUUUUUUUUCUAAAUAUUCAACCUCAAAAUAAUAAAUUGUAUUGAUACUAGAUAUCAAAAAACAUAGUAAGUAAUAGUAAAUAAAUUAGGACAUAUAUAAAAAAUGGGUGGGUUCCAUCGUUUCUAUGAUUUUUUUUAGAAACGGGCAGGUCCUUUCUAUACACCGGAGCCUUUCUUUCUUUUCAUUUUUUAUUAAUUUAAUUAAUGUUAUUGUUAACUUGUACAGUUCACACUCUUUGGCUCUACCCAUCCAAUAUUUAGUUUAGUAAGUAGAUUUUUUCACAAUGAAAUCUAGUUAUACAGUAACGGUAUUUAAUUAUGAAAAUUUGCUGGGUAGCUGACCUUCUUAUUCCGUUCGUCCAAAAUCCAUCAAAAUUCAUUCAUUAAGGACAUACUUUAUCUUUAAUUGAAAUAGUAUUUUCUCCGCUUAACGGGUAACUUUAUAUUUGUUUUGUUACCGAUGGGAAAGUCCUUCUCAUCUUAAAUUGUAAAUUAAGACUAUUGGGUUUGCACCAAUCGAAACCAUAAAUUUGAUACAAGAUAGAAGAAUGUAAAGAAUGUAUAUAUAUAAGUUAAGAUAGUCUGAAUGGGAAAACUACAUUCACACUAUCUUAACCGAUCAACAAUACUGAAAAAAUGAAAUUGGUUUUUUCUUCUUAGUAUAUGAUCUGAACGAGUCGCACAUACACCCUGGUACACGUUCCUCGGCGCUGAGGGCAUCCCCGAAGAGCUGGGGAUUUUGUGACGUUUCGGAUUGGCUGUCUUGUGUUUCUAAUAAGUUGUUUCAUAGUUGGCAUAGUAAGUUGUAAUAUAUAUAUAAUGAGCUGGUUUAGAUCUAUCCUAACCGUGAAUUACUUAGAUUCUAUAUUACUUAUAUUCUAUUAAUAGAUUAACUAAUAGAUAUUAAUAGAUUAACUAAUAGAGAUAUUAUAUUAAAAUGAAAGUAAGAAGAUUCAAAAAUGAAAUUUCAAAUCCUGUAUUUUUUUAGAAUAAUCCUUGCCACUUAUUUUUUAUUCAACGGCUACAAGAUCUACAAUUCCGUGAGCUUGGGCUUCUGCUGCUGACAUAAAAACAUCCCUUUCCAUGUCUUCGGAUAUAACCCAUAAAGGUUUGCCCGUUCUUUGUACAUAAACCCUUGUGAUAGUUUCACGCAUUUUCAGUAGCUCUUCCGCUUCCAGGAUAAAUUCUCCCGUUUGUGCCUCAUAAAAAGAACUAGCGGGUUGGUGGAUCAUUACCCUGAUUUUAUAACUUAAUAAGUAUUUCCCUUAUCUUGAUAAAGAUUUUGAUAAUGAUUUCUCCUAUAUUGGUAAAGAUUAUCCUUAUUCCCAAAUAAAGGUAAAAGGGAUAAAUACAAAUAAGAAAAUAAAAAAAUGGGCAAAAAUAAUAUUAAAUAACCGUACAAGCAUUUUCUGCGUAUUGAUGCAUACGGCUUUUCCAUCCCUGCAAUUCAUUUUUUUCCUCUACUAUGGAUAGAGUAUUUUCUUUGAUGAAUUUUUUUCUACGUUUACGAAUUUAUUUUUUUUUCAUCAAAGAAAAACGAAGUACAAAAUCUACCGGGUCUUUUGGAUCCAGAUCCUUAAUUAAUAAACAAUCCAAUAACCAACUUUCUUUUUUAUUUUUUGAAUCGCUUUAAUUAAAAAUACUACGAUGGUUCCGUUGUUUUUUAUAUCAUUUUGUUAUUCAACAAUCCGAAAGUUUCUUUUUUUUUCAUAUGUUAUGUUUUCUUCUAAUUAAAAUAAAAAUUGUUAAAAGUUUUCUGGUAUGAAAAAAAAAACAAAAAGUCUGUGACACUAAAAUUAAACUAGGUUCCUGAUAGAUCAGAUAAAAUUGUAAAUACCCUCUUUUUCAUACUACUCUUUCUAUAUAUAAUCGAAUGAUUUAAAAAACAAAAAUUUUCAUAUGGAAUUCACAAUACCAUGCUAUUAUUACUUAUAAAAUGUUUUUAUUAACUGUUUUUAUGGCGAAGGUAUAGUCUUUAUAUAUAUUCUCAAAUAAAAGAAUCAUUGGCGCCAAGCGUGAGGGAAUGCUAAACGUUUGGUAAUUUCUCCUCCUGCCAAAAGAAAGGAUCCCAUUGAAGCGGCUAAUCCCAUACAUACUGUCUGUACAUCUGGUUGUACAAAUUGCAUAGUAUCAUAAAUAGCUAUUCCGGGUAUUACCCACCCCCCCGGAGAAUUUAUAAACAGAUACAAAUCUUUAUUCUCUUCUUCUAUACUAAGAUAUACCAUAAGACUAAUUAGUUGAUUCGAUAUUUCACUAUCAACCUCUUGACCUAAAAAAAGUAAUCUUUCUCGAUAAAGUCGAUUGAUUAGGAUUCCAUUUUUUUCCUUAAGAGCCGUACAUGCACCUUUUGAUGCAUACAGUUCACCAAAAAUCAUAUAAGCAAAAAAGGAAUCAAUGUGUCAAUUUUAAACCUCUUUCUCUUUUCAUAAUGGACUUCUUCGAACUUUUAAAGAAAAAUAGAAUAAUAUACAUACUCAAUUUAUUGAACUAUCUUCUCAUUGAUGUAUUGCUUUCAUUGAGAUCGAAGCCCAAUCACAAUGUAAUUUUCUUGUUUCUGAAUGGACUUUUUCAAUUCUUUUAGGUUUCUUUUCUACUCUGAGUAAAGAUCUGCCCGAUUUUGAUUUGCACAUAUAGGACAAAUAUUACAAUACUACGUAUUUUUGUUAAAACUUCUUCCUUUUCUGAAUUUCUUAUUUAAUAUUUUCUGUAAAAUAUACGGAUAUGAUAGAAGUGGUGAUCGUAGAUAUAUUACCAAUUGGUUUUUUCUAAACAGAGCCUGGGUACUUUAUUUUAUUGGUUCAAUCAAGCCAACCAUAAAUUAUUCAUAAUUUCGAGUAAUAAUCUGGAUACCACCUCUAAAAAUAAAAAAAUCGAUAGAAUUUUAUUUCAUUACACUUCACGCUCCAAAUUUUUUAUGAUUCAAUCAUUCUUCUUUUGGGGGUGAAAGAGAGGAUAUCUCGAUCGGGGGAGAAAACGGGGAAAUCCCAUAUGACCUACUAUAUCUGACAAGUCGCACUAUAUAUCAACCCAAGAUGCAUCUUCUUCCCCAGGGCUUCGAAAGGGUACUCUUGGAACACCAAUGGGCAUAAAAUGGAGAAAUAAUAAAAUCAUAUAUCUAACUUUAGUGUGGAAACGUAAGAAUUAGCUUAUCGUGUUAAAAAUGAUUUAUUUUUAUUAUAUUGCAUUUUUUUUUUUAGGAAUACUAAAUAUAAAAAAAGGAAUACUAAAUAAAGUAAAGUUGUUACGAAUGGGUCAUUGGGGUGAUAAGUGAGUAUGUCUGCAUUUACUUAUUUAAAUAUUCAUAGAGAAAAUUGUAAACCCCUCUCGUCUCCCCACCAUUGCGUAUUGUUACUUAUCGGGUAUAGAAUAAAUCUGUUUCUUUUUAUUUCUACAAAUAUGAUUGUUCCAUUUUACGAGAAAAUCUAAUGAAAGGCUAGAGUCCAUAAUAUAAAUUUUUCAAGUGCAAUAAAGUUACAUAGUGUCUAUUUUUUGUUGAUAUAAGGGGUAUUUUCAUGGGUUUACCUUGGUAUCGUGUUCAUACUGUUGUAUUAAAUGAUCCAGGCCGUUUGCUUUCUGUUCAUAUAAUGCACACAGCUCUGGUUGCUGGUUGGGCCGGUUCGAUGGCUCUAUAUGAAUUAGCAGUUUUUGAUCCCUCUGACCCUGUUCUUGACCCAAUGUGGAGACAGGGUAUGUUCGUUAUACCUUUCAUGACUCGUUUAGGAAUAACCAAUUCGUGGGGCGGUUGGAAUAUCACAGGAGGGACUAUAACGAAUCCGGGUAUUUGGAGUUACGAAGGUGUGGCCGGAGCACAUAUUGUGUUUUCGGGCUUGUGCUUUUUAGCGGCUAUUUGGCAUUGGGUUUAUUGGGAUCUAGAAAUCUUUUGUGAUGAACGUACUGGAAAACCUUCUUUGGAUUUGCCCAAAAUUUUUGGAAUUCAUUUAUUUCUUGCAGGGGUGGCUUGUUUUGGUUUUGGCGCAUUUCAUGUAACAGGAUUGUAUGGUCCUGGAAUAUGGGUGUCCGAUCCUUAUGGACUAACUGGAAGGAUACAAUCCGUAAAUCCCGCGUGGGGCGUGGAAGGUUUUGAUCCUUUUGUUCCGGGGGGGGUAGCUUCUCAUCAUAUUGCAGCAGGAACGUUGGGCAUAUUAGCAGGUCUUUUCCAUCUUAGUGUGCGUCCACCCCAACGUCUAUAUAAAGGAUUACGGAUGGGAAAUAUUGAAACUGUCCUUUCCAGCAGUAUUGCUGCUGUCUUUUUUGCAGCUUUUGUCGUUGCUGGAACUAUGUGGUAUGGUUCAGCAACAACCCCUAUUGAAUUAUUCGGUCCUACUCGUUAUCAAUGGGAUCAGGGAUACUUUCAGCAAGAAAUAUAUCGAAGAGUUGGUGCUGGACUAGCCGAAAAUCAAAGUUUAUCAGAAGCUUGGUCUAAAAUUCCCGAAAAAUUAGCUUUUUAUGAUUAUAUCGGAAAUAAUCCAGCAAAAGGGGGGUUAUUUAGAGCAGGUUCAAUGGACAAUGGAGAUGGAAUAGCCGUCGGUUGGUUAGGACAUCCUGUCUUUAGAGAUAAAGAGGGGCAUGAACUUUUUGUACGUCGUAUGCCUACUUUUUUUGAAACAUUUCCGGUUGUUUUGGUAGAUGGGGAUGGAAUUGUUAGGGCCGAUGUUCCUUUUCGAAGGGCAGAAUCUAAAUAUAGUGUGGAACAAGUAGGUGUAAUUGUUGAGUUCUAUGGUGGCGAGCUUAAUGGAGUCAGUUAUAGCGAUCCCGCUACUGUGAAAAAAUAUGCUAGACGUGCUCAAUUGGGUGAAAUUUUUGAAUUAGAUCGUGCUACUUUGAAAUCAGAUGGUGUUUUUCGUAGCAGUCCGAGGGGUUGGUUUACUUUUGGACAUGCUUCUUUUGCUCUGCUAUUCUUUUUCGGGCACAUUUGGCAUGGUGCUAGAACUUUAUUCAGAGAUGUUUUUGCUGGUAUCGACCCAGAUUUAGACGCUCAAGUAGAAUUUGGAGCAUUCCAAAAACUUGGAGAUCCAACUACAAAAAAACAGGUAGUCUAACAUUCUUUUGUUCUUUUUCGACUUUUUUUAUGAUUUUAAAUUUCACAUAGAGAACUAGAUAAAUCUUUAUUUCAAUCAUUGCAGUUACUCUUUUUAUUUUAUUUGUUGGGAAAUGAUCCCCAAUAAACAGGUAUGAAAGCUAUAAUUGUAAACCACAAUCAAAUCUAUGGAAGCAUUGGUUUAUACAUUCCUCUUAGUCUCGACUUUAGGAAUUAUUUUUUUCGCUAUCUUUUUUAGAGAACCCCCUAAAGUUCCGACGAAAAAAGGUUAAAUAAUUUUUUAUUAUCUUAAUUGAAGUAAUGAGCCCCCAAUAUGGAGGGCUCAUUACUUCAACUAGUCCCCAUGUUCUUCAAAUGGAUCUCUUAGUUGUUGCGAGGGUUGCCCAAAGGCAAUAUAUAAGGCAUACCCAGUAAAACUUACAAGUAAACCAGAUAUAGAGAUGGCAAUUAGGGUUGCUGUUUCCAUUAUUAGAAUUCUAAAGUUUCAAGAUCACAAUAGAUCUAUAGGAUAAGAUCCUUAUAUUUACAGCGAAAUGGUAUACAAAGUCAACAGAUCUAAAUGAAUAAAAAAUAGUAUUUAUGGCUACGCAAACCGUUGAGGAUAAUUCUAGAUCUGGUCCAAGACGAACUGUUGUAGGGGAUUUAUUGAAACCAUUAAAUUCAGAAUAUGGUAAAGUAGCUCCGGGGUGGGGAACUACUCCUUUGAUGGGUGUUGCAAUGGCUCUAUUUGCGAUAUUUCUAUCUAUUAUUUUGGAGAUUUAUAAUUCGUCCAUUUUACUCGACGGAAUUUCUAUGAAUUAGAUUCACAAGAAUCGGGUAAUUAGUUUUUCAAUAGAAAGGAAAGUUAAGCAUUUUGGUUUCUUAUUGUUUGUUAGUCUAUUUCAUUUGGAUUUGGUAGUUUGAUCGUGGAAUUUCUUUGUUUCUGUAUUUCCGGAAUAUGAGUGUGCGGCUUGUUUUAAUGGAUCCUAUUGAAAGUACAGAACAUAAAAUGGAUCUGUCAUCUUGAUAGAGAUGGUUUUAUCCCGUCAGAUAUUUCUUCUAGUAUCUGGAGCACGGAAUAUAGAAAAUGGAUUCUAAAAAUAUUAGAACUAUGAUUCAUACUAAAUAUUUAGACCUCGCAACCGGACUUAAAAAACUUUUCAAAGAGUUUUAAAAAUAAAUUGAAUAAUUUGCAUUCUUUUAAGUUUCCGGAGCUUAUCUUUAUUUUGAUCAAAGGACAAACGUUUCCUUUAAUUUUUUUCAUUAUAUCUAUUCAUUGAAUAAGUGAUGAUCCAACAGUUCUUACUCAGGGAAUUUUUGGACUUCGAUUUAAGGUUUUUUUGAAUCAUCGUGGUUAUAGUAUGAAUCUGAUGUUUUUUUAAUUGAUUCAUAGGGUCCUAACAAGAGAAUUCCUAUCAAUAAUAAAAAUUCAAUAAUAAUAAAGAAGACAACAGUAAAAUCAUAUUAUACACAAUAAAAAAAUGAAGUAAAUAGUAGAAUAUUCAAGAGGCCUUAAAAGAUCAAGAUAAAGACGAAGGAGCCGACUUGAUAUUUUAGCAUUAUAACCAAAAAGAAUAGCUUUCGGAUCUCUAUUUUUUAUUAUCGUCAAAGAAAAUUAGAAUCAUAGGAUUAAAUAAAGAAAUUUCAAACUUUCUAUUACACAUAUCUGUUUUCGUUACAAGCAGUAUUUGGGUAUUUUUGUUUGAGCCGUACGAGAUGAAAUUCUCAUAUACGGUUCUCAGGGGGGGUCCGUUGGUUUACCUAUCUCAAUAAAGUCUAUGAUUGGUUCGAAGAACGUCUUGAAAUUCAGGCGAUUGCCGAUGAUAUAACCAGUAAAUAUGUUCCGCCUCAUGUGAAUAUAUUUUAUUGUUUAGGAGGAAUUACACUUACUUGUUUUUUAGUCCAAGUAGCAACGGGAUUUGCUAUGACUUUUUAUUAUCGUCCGACCGUUACUGAAGCUUUUGCUUCUGUUCAAUAUAUAAUGACUGAAGCUAACUUUGGUUGGUUAAUCCGAUCCGUUCAUCGAUGGUCGGCAAGUAUGAUGGUCUUAAUGAUGAUCCUACACGUAUUUCGUGUGUAUCUCACAGGCGGUUUUAAAAAACCUCGCGAAUUAACUUGGGUUACGGGUGUAGUUUUGGCUGUAUUGACUGCAUCUUUUGGUGUAACCGGUUAUUCCUUACCUUGGGAUCAAAUUGGUUAUUGGGCAGUCAAAAUUGUAACAGGCGUACCCGACGCUAUUCCUGUAAUAGGAUCGUCUUUGGUAGAGUUAUUACGCGGAAGUUCCAGUGUGGGACAAUCUACCUUAACUCGUUUUUAUAGUUUGCAUACUUUUGUAUUACCUCUUCUUACUGCUGUAUUUAUGUUAAUGCACUUUUCAAUGAUACGUAAGCAAGGCAUUUCUGGUCCUUUAUAGUGAAUAUGGAUCAUAGAUAUUUGUAAUCACAAUCAUUUUUUAUUUUGGGGAGGAAUUUAUUUCAUUGCUACAAAUAUGGAUUAUUUAAAAGAAUAAGACAUGUAUUUGGAUAUUUCCCUUCAACUUAACAAAAAUUGAAUUUUUUUCCAUACACGCACGAAUAGUUGAAGGGAACUCUCCGAAGAAAAAAUGGAUUAUGGGAGUGUGUGACUUGAACUAUUUAUUGGGCCACGCAGAUAUCUGACUUUAUCUUAUCUGCCACAUUUGAAUUUAUAAUUAAAUGUGUCUUUUUUCCAACCACCAAGUAAGGCUCUUACAGAGAGGGUAGGCUGGUUUUACUUGAAAAGAAUCUUUUCUAUGAUCAGACUCGAUUAUAUUCUACAUGAACAGGCUCCGUAAGAUCCAGUAAAAUAAGUAAUGUAGUAUAGUCUGAAUUAUAUCAUAUGUAUUUCAGUAAACUUAAUAGUAUGACAACGCAUUCAUUUCCUAUGCAUUGAUUCGAUUUCUGAUACUAUCGGAGUGAAAAAAGUAGAUCUAAAGAAAAACGCGGGUUGGAUUAUAUUAGUAACAAGUAAAUUCUUUGUACGUAAAAAGUUCCAAGAUUUUGUUGGACAGAAUAACAAUUGCAAAGUUUGAGAUCACCCAGAAAGCAUUAUCAAUUUUAAAAGCCUACUCGGGUAUUGAGCGUUUAUCAAAGUUUACUUAAUAAGAACUUAAUUUUUUUUUUUUUCAAUAAAGAAUUGUUUGUAACUUCGGAAAAAGAGAAUCUAGUUUAUUUUCUUACAUAGAAUCCUCAUAUAUGUGUGAAUAACACAUACAUUUUUUCUAUAGAUACAUUCGAAAUCUUUGAUUAGUGCUCGAGCCGGAUGAUGAAAAAUUAUCAUAUCCGGUUCUUUCGGAGGAUGGAUCUAUAAGAAUUCACCUAUCCCAAUAACAAAAAAACCUGACUUGAAUGAUCCUGUAUUAAGAGCUAAAUUGGCUAAGGGAAUGGGUCAUAAUUAUUAUGGAGAACCUGCAUGGCCCAACGAUCUUUUAUAUAUUUUUCCAGUAGUAAUUCUAGGUACUAUUGCCUGUAACGUAGGCUUAGCGGUUCUAGAACCAUCCAUGAUUGGGGAACCCGCGGAUCCAUUUGCAACUCCUUUGGAAAUAUUACCCGAAUGGUAUUUCUUUCCCGUAUUUCAAAUACUUCGUACAGUGCCCAAUAAGUUAUUGGGCGUUCUUUUAAUGGUUUCGGUACCUACAGGAUUAUUAACAGUACCCUUUUUGGAGAAUGUUAAUAAAUUCCAAAACCCAUUUCGCCGUCCAGUAGCAACCACCAUCUUUUUGAUUGGUACUGUAGUUGCCCUUUGGUUAGGUAUUGGAGCAACAUUACCUAUUGAGAAAUCCCUAACUUUAGGUCUUUUUUAAACUUAUAAAAUUGAUUCCAUUUUGAAAUAAAAAAAAAUAGAAUGCCAUGUGUAUUGUGUAUCUAGGGAGAAUUCUUUUUGAAACGACUAAUCCCUAGAUACAUCUAUUCCAUUUUAGGUCUAUUCCGAACAUAUGGAUUUUUUUUUAAAGAUCUAAAUUACAUAUUUUCAUCCCUAUCGUAAGUUUAGAAAAAAAAAAAAAAAGAAAUCUGAAAAAAUCCUAUGCCAAUGGAUUUCAAAUUUAUGCAAAAUGCUUUUCUAUUUCUAAAAAGUCCAAUAUAUAUUUGACAUCUUCUACGCGAAAAUGUUCAAUUUUCAGAAGGUCUUCUUGACUGUUAUUCAAAAGUUCUAAUAAUGUAUGAAUAUUGGAUCUUUUGAGACAAUUAUAGAUCCUGGGAGGCAAUUCUAAUUGGUCAAUAAAAAUGGAUUUCAAUGCUAUUUCUUUUUUCUUUUUCCUUAGUUUUUCCUUAGCCAAUAUAUCAUGAAAAGUAAAAAGGGGCAAAGUAACUUUGUGUUGAUUGUUUUCUAAAUUAAAGUUAUCUUCUUCUGCGUGUAAAAAGGGAAUAAAUAAAUCAAUCAAAUUCCGGGAGGCUUCAUAAAGCGCUUCCUUAGGAGUUAAACUUCCAUUUGUCCAUAUUUCGAGAAAGAGUAUCUCUUGUUUUUCAUUCCCAUUCACAUAAGAAUGAAUACUAUGAUUUACAUUUCGAACAGGCAUAAAUGUGGCAUCUAUAGGAUAACUUCCAUCUUGAAAGUUUUUUAGUGUUUUUAUACGAUACCCACGAUUCCUCUCAAUUUUUAAUUCAAUACACAAAUUAACGGGUUCUGUUACGUUGGCUAUAUGUUGUGUAUUAUCAACGAUUUCCACAGAGGGUGGUAAAAUGAUGUCUUGAGCGGUUACAUAUCCAGGACCUUUGAAACAAAUAGACGCGUCCCGAGUUCCAUACAGAUUACUUCUCAAUACAAUUUCUUUCAAAUUCAUUAAAAUUUCAUGUACUGAUUCUUCAAUACCUAUUAUGGUAGAAUAUUCAUGUGGUAUUUUUUCUGAUUUUACACGUGUGAUACAUGUUCCCUCUAUUUCUCCGAGUAAAACUCUUCGCAUUGCAAUGCCUAUUGUAUCGGCUUGACCUUUCAUAAGUGGAGACAGAAUAAAGCGUCCAUAAUAAAGACGUUUACUGUCUAUUCUUGAUUCAACACAUUUCCAUUGUAGUGUCCGAGUAGAUACUCUUAUUUUCUCUCGAACCAUAGUAAUAUAUUAUUUUGAUCAAACCCUUGACUUGUUUAUUUCUCUUGAAAUCUUUUCAAUGUUUCUUUUUAGUUUUACACACGUCUUUUUUUAGGAGAUCUACAUCCAUUAUGUGGCAUAGGAGUUACAUCUCGUAUAAAAUUUAAUAGUAUACCACUUCUACGAAUAGCUCUUAAUGCCGCAUCUCUUCCGAGACCAGGACCUUUUAUCAUGACUUCUGCUCGUUGCAUGCCUUGAUCCGAUACUGUUCGAAUAGCAUUUCCUGCUGCAGUUUGAGCGGCAAAAGGUGUCCCCCUUCGUGUACCUUUGAAUCCGCAAGUACCGGCGGAGGACCAAGAAAUCACCCGACCUCGUACAUCUGUAACAGUUACAAUAGUAUUGUUGAAACUAGCUUGAACAUGAAUAACUCCCUUUGGUAUUUUACGAGUAUGCUUACGCGAACCAAUACGUACAUUUUUACGCGAACCCUUUUUAGAUAUAGGUUUUGCCAUAUUUAAUUAUUUCAUAAAAAUAAAUCCAAGAUAUAUGGUAUGGAUAUAUCCAUUUCGUGUCAAAAAAGGGGGAUCCUUUAUUAAAUUAAUUAUAUCCUUUAUUAAAUUAAUUAUUUUAUAACUAGAAUUAAUAUUCUAUUUUUCUAUAUUAAUUCUAUUUUAGUUCGAUUAAUAUAAAAUUUUUGAAAUAAAAUUUCAAAUUUGAAAUAUCAAUCAAUCAUUUUUCUUAUAAAAUAAAAAUUGGAUAUUUGAUAGAAUAAUAUAUAUAUAAUAAGAUAAAAUAUAAAUUAUAAAUUUCUAUAUUAGAAUUCUAUUUUUUUUAGAAAGCCUCUGUUUGUUAAAAUAUUAUCCUUGUCUUUGUUUAUGUCUUGGAUUGGAACAAAUUACUAUAAUUCGCCCUCGUCUUCGAAUCAAUCGACAUUUUUCACAAAUUUUACGAACGGAGGCUCUUAUUUUCAUAUUUGCCAUUCCUUAACUUAAUAAGUUAAUCCAAAAUUGAUUUAUUGGAAGAAAAUAAGGUUUGCUUACGUUUUGAACUUCUAAUUGUGGUCUUCCCCAUAAAAAAAUGUUGAGGUUGAAAAACACCCAAAUUAAAUUGAAUGACUUAUAUUUUUUUUCUUUCCUUAUCGUAUACCCAUAAAAAGUACGUUGAAUCUUUUUGGAAACAUAUCCUAUAAUCAAAAUCCAAUUUGCAUUAAUUAUAUAAGGGAACUUGAAACAUACCCCGGGGAAAUGAUUCAUGGGUAAGUUAUUCAUUUAGUAAUUAAAUCUUCGUGAAUCCCCCCUUUUUUUAAUUCCAGUUAAAUCCCUUAUCACAUUCACAAAUAUACAUAAAGGGGGAAGUUCUAUUAGAAACUUGCGUUUUCUCUUUCUUUUUUUUUUUACCAAAAAUGGAUCGAAGUUUCUCAUAUAAUUCGGGUGUUAGAAAGAUUACCAUAUAUAACAUAAAACUUCUCCGCCAAUUCUUUCUAAUCGAGCCUCUCGAUCUGUCAUUAUACCUCUAGAAGUUGAAAGAAUUACAAUCCCCAUGCCCCCUAAAAUUCGAGGGAUUCGUUGAUAAUUAGAAUAUAUUCGUAGACCGGGUGUACUGAUCCGUUUUAAAUUUAAAAAACUUUUAUAUGAUCCUUUUCUAUUCCUUCUAUACCGUAGAGUUAAAACUAAAAAAUAUUUGUCGUUUUCUCUAUGUUUUCUGACGUUUUCAACAAAACCCUCGCGUAAAAGUAUUUUUACAAUGUUUUCUGUUAUGUUAGUAAAUGGUAUUUGAACCAUUCCUUUUUUAUUCAUGUCAGCAUUUCUUAUAUAGGUUAUUAUGUCAGCGAUGGUGUCCUUACCCAUGGUAAACAAAAAUGAUUGUUGCCCUUUACUUUCUAUAUAAUCAACAUGCUCCUUUUUCUAUUUAUUAUUCUUUUUUUUUUUACGUUCUAUUAUAUAUAUAUCUAUCUAUAUUCUAUAUAUAGAUAUAUUGUUUAGGUUAUCAAGUAUUAAUCUGAAAUAAAUAAGAAUUGCUGCUUCUAAUACUUAUAAUAAUUACUACAAAUUCUAAUAAUUACUACAAAAGGGAUAUAUGUUAGAUAAAAUAGAUUAAUUAAUCUAUUUCACAAAAAAAUAAUGUAUCCAUAGCACAGUUUCGUCUUAUAAUACCUCGGGUGCUAAUGAAACUAUUUUAGUGAAAUUUAACUGUCUCAAUUCCCGGGCGAUUGCACAAAAGAUUCGAGUUCCUUUUGGAUUUCCUUCUUGAUCAAUGACAACUGCAGCAUUAUCAUCAUACUGAAUUAUUAUACCGUUGCUACGUUUGAGUUCUUUACAAGUACGUACAAUUACAGCUCUGAUCACUUCUGAUCUUUCUAAGUUCGUAUUUGGUACUGCUUGUUUGAUUACAGCAACAACAAUGUCACCAAUAUAAGCAUAUCGUCGAUUACUAGCUCCUAGGAUUCGAAUACACAUCAGUUCGCGUGCUCCGCUAUUAUCAGCUACAUUCAAAUGAGUUUGAGGUUGAAUCAUAUCAUUUUUUUAUUCUUUCAGUCAAAAAAUGGAAGUAAAAAUAUUUUGUGUUCAAAAAAAGGAACCUACAUUUGCAUUUUUUGUUUUCAUCUUAAAGACCUCUUUCCUUUGGUUCUAAUUUAUUACCCUGAAAUAAUGAAUUGAGUUCGUAUAGGCAUUUUGGAUGAUGCUAUUGAAAUAGCCUUUCUUGCUAUAUUUUCUGGUACCCCACCCAUUUCAUAAAGUAUUUUCCCAGGUUUAACGACAGCUACCCAAUAUUCGGGAGAACCUUUUCCUGAACCCAUACGUGUUUCAGUAGGUCUUACUGUAACCGGUUUGUCUGGAAAUAUGCGUACCCAUAUUUGUCCACCUCGGCGAACAUUUCGUGACAUUGCCCGCCGUCCCGCUUCUAUUUGUCUAGAUGUUAUCCAAGCUGGCUCAAGUGCUUGAAGAGCAUAUCUUCCGAAGCAAAUAUGAUUCCCUCGAUAGGAUAUUCCUUUCAUUCUUCCUCUAUGUUGUUUACGAAAUCUGGUUCUUUGGGGGUUAUAAUUGAUGGUUGUUUCUCAAUUCCAUCUUUAUUACAGAACCGUACAUGAGAUUUUCACCUCAUACGGCUCCUCGCGAAUGAAGCAAUUCAAAUAGAUAUCUAUCUAUAUAUAUAGAUAAUCUAUUUAAUCUAAUCGAUAAAAUAAUAUGCACUAAUAUUCAUAUGUUUAAUGAAUAAUUGAAUAGCGGGAUUUUUUGAGAUUUCAUAGAAUCUAUUCCAAAUUUUUAUAUUUUGUUUUGAUAUAGAAUGGAAUAUGUAUUCUUAUAAAUAAACCAUUUUUGUUUUACAUAUAUAACUAAAGAAUCUUGUUUUGUUCUAUUAUUUGUUAUUUUAUAAUAUUCUAAUGAAUCUUUAUUUUCCUUUUUAUUAUUAGUUAUUAGAAUAUUUUUGAUUAUUAGAAAGAAUAAAUAGAAUUGGCAAAAAUAAAAAAAAAAAUUCAAUAAAAUCAAAAUUAUCGCGGGCGAAUAUUUACUCUUUUAUUAUCAAUCAAAUUCAGAUGUAAUGUAGGGCACAACUCCUAAAAAAAGGAUUGCUUUUUGGUUUCUUCCGCCAUCCCACCUAAUGAAUCAUUAAGAUUUGUUUUUAAUAAAAUCUUAAGUAUUUGCAGGUUUCGUCGUUCCCAUCACUUCUCGAUUAAUGGUUAGGUCUGAAUUCGACAAUGGAGCCUUUCUCAUAUCUUAAAAUUAAUAAUCUUUUUUUUUUUCGAAUAUUGAUUUGUUUUUUCGUGAAUCAAUAUUCUCAGUUUUUAUUGAUUCAGAGCUCUUAAUUUGUUUACGUUAUAAAUUAAUUCAUAUAUAAAUAGAUAUGAAUUGAUUUAGAUUGAUGCUUUAUUACACUACCUUUUAUGAGAUAACCCAUAGACCUUUACAUAUUAGAAUUCUAUAUCAUUGAUUUUUUUUCUCUCUUUCUUUCACCUCUUCAUUUAUCUGUAUAUUUUUAUUGCUUUACAACUAAAUAAGAUUUUUGUUCUUUUAUGCUUCACAAUAGUUCAGUUGCUAUAAUAUAUCUUUUUUUAUAUUUUUUUUUGUUUUGACUAGUUCUUUAGAUCUAGAUAAUCCGAAGCGAUGCGUUGGUUAUUAGUUCUUUUUUAAUUCAUUUAUACGAUGAACCGGUUUAUAAAUUUGUUAAAUUGGAACCGUU
rnacentral:lncRNA from 1 species